UACAGAGGUCCCAAGCGUUGUUCGGAUUCACUGGGCGUAAAGGGUGCGUAGGCGGUCGGGUAAGUCUGAUGUGAAAUCUCCAAGCCUAACUUGGAAACUGCAUUGGAUACUAUCCGGCUCGAGGAAUGGAGGGGAGACUGGAAUACUUGGUGUAGCAGUGAAAUGCGUAGAUAUCAAGUGGAACACCAGUGGCGAAGGCGAGUCUCUGGACAUUUCCUGACGCUGAGGCACGAAAGCCAGGGGAGCAAACGGG
rnacentral:rRNA from 1 species